GGCUCAGAUUGAACGCUGGCGGCAGGCCUAACACAUGCAAGUCGAGCGGUAGAGAGGUGCUUGCAUCUCUUGAGAGCGGCGGACGGGUGAGUAAUGCCUAGGAAUCUGCCUAGUGGUGGGGGAUAACGUUCGGAAACGGACGCUAAUACCGCAUACGUCCUACGGGAGAAAGCGGGGGAUCUUCGGACCUCGCGCCAUUAGAUGAGCCUAGGUCGGAUUAGCUAGUUGGUGAGGUAAUGGCUCACCAAGGCGACGAUCCGUAACUGGUCUGAGAGGAUGAUCAGUCACACUGGAACUGAGACACGGUCCAGACUCCUACGGGAGGCAGCAGUGGGGAAUAUUGGACAAUGGGCGAAAGCCUGAUCCAGCCAUGCCGCGUGUGUGGAGAAGGUCUUCGGAUUGUAAAGCACUUUAAGUUGGGAGGAAGGGUAGUAACCUAAUACGUUGCUACUUUGACGUUACCGACAGAAUAAGCACCGGCUAACUUCGUG
rnacentral:rRNA from 1 species